AUUGAACGCUGGCGGCAGGCCUAGCACAUGCAAGUCGGACGGUAGCACAGAGGAGCUUGCUCCUCGGGUGACGAGUGGCGGACGGGUGAGUAAUGUCUGGGGAUCUGCCCGAUAGAGGGGGAUAACCACUGGAAACGGUGGCUAAUACCGCAUAACGUCGCAAGACCAAAGAGGGGGACCUUCGGGCCUCUCACUAUCGGAUGAACCCAGAUGGGAUUAGCUAGUAGGCGGGGUAACGGCCCACCUAGGCGACGAUCCCUAGCUGGUCUGAGAGGAUGACCAGCCACACUGGAACUGAGACACGGGCCAGACUCCUACGGGAGGCAGCAGUGGGGAAUAUUGCACAAUGGGCGCAAGCCUGAUGCAGCCAUGCCGCGUGUAUGAAGAAGGCCUUCGGGUUGUAAAGUACUUUCAGCGGGGAGGAAGGCGAUGUGGUUAAUAACCGCAUUGAUUGACGUUACCCGCAGAAGAAGCACCGGCUAACUCCGUGCCAGCCGCCGCGGUAA
rnacentral:rRNA from 1 species